GCAAGUGUAGUUCAAGGGUAGAAUCUCAGUUUCCCAUACUGAGGGUCCGAGUUCGAGUCUCGGCACUUGCA
rnacentral:tRNA from 1 species